rnacentral:rRNA from 1 species
UUUAUGGAGAGUUUGAUCCUGGCUCAGGAUGAACGCUGGCGGCGUGCCUAAUACAUGCAAGUCGAGCGAACAGAUGAGAAGCUUGCUUCUCUGAUGUUAGCGGCGGACGGGUGAGUAACACGUGGGUAACCUACCUAUAAGACUGGGAUAACUCCGGGAAACCGGGGCUAAUACCGGAUAAUAUUUUGAACCGCAUGGUUCAAUAGUGAAAGACGGUUUCGGCUGUCACUUAUAGAUGGACCCGCGCCGUAUUAGCUAGUUGGUAAGGUAACGGCUUACCAAGGCGACGAUACGUAGCCGACCUGA